AUUGAACGCUGGCGGCAGGCCUAACACAUGCAAGUCGAGCGAGCGGCGGACGGGUGAGUAAUGUCUGGGAAACUGCCUGAUGGAGGGGGAUAACUACUGGAAACGGUAGCUAAUACCGCAUACCCUCAGAUGUGCCCAGAUGGGGUUAGCUAGUAGGUGGGGUAACGGCUCACCUAGGCGACGAUCCCUAGCUGGUCUGAGAGGAUUACCAGCCACACGGGAACUGAGACACGGUCCAAACUCCUACGGGAGGCAGCGGUGGGAAAUAUUGCACAAUGGGCGCAAGCCUGAUGCAGCCAGGCCGGGUGGUGGAAGAAGGCCUUCGGGGUGUAAGGCACUUUCAGCGGGGAGGCGUUACCCGCAGAAGAAGCACCGGCUAACUCCGUGCCAGCAGCCGCGGUAAUUC
rnacentral:rRNA from 1 species